CAGGACAAGUAAAUAAUAGCUCAUAUAAUUCUGAGAAUACGGCUCAGAAGUCUCUACCAGACAACCGUAAAUUGUCUGACUAUGAGUGAAAGUGUACCUGAG
rnacentral:ncRNA from 2 species